rnacentral:misc_RNA from 1 species
GAAAUGCGAUAAGUAAUGUGAAUUGCAGAAUUCAGUGAAUCAUCGAAUCUUUGAACGCACCUUGCGCUCCUUGGUAUUCCGAGGAGCAUGCCUGUUUGAGUAUCAUGAAAUUCUCAACCUUUUCAACUUUUUGGUUGAUCAGGCUUGGAUUGUGGGGGUUGCAGGCUUCACAGAGGUCUGCUCUCCUGAAAUGUAUUAGCAGGGACCUAUCAGCUUUUGGUGUGAUAAUUAUCUACAUCAUAGCUGUUGAUGGAACCAGCUUCUAACUGUCUUUUUGAAGACAACUUGAUUAUAUUUUGAUCUCAAAUCAGGUAGGACUACCCGCUGAACUUAA